CCUCAUCAUUCUCUCUCGGAUCUCUUUCUCCCACCAGACCUCUCUCCUUCACUCUUUCUCUCUCGCCUGUGUGUUUAUGGAGCCCGACCUUCCCCUACACGCACUGGCUAGGGAUCUUCAGAGGGCGUCGAAGCUUCGACCCACGCGGGCCCAAGCCCUCACACGACUGCAGAGGUGAACGACGACACCGGAGGCCAGCUCUUCUUCUCCUCUUUCCUGUGUGCAGCCAAGCCUUCUUCCCAGCGUGAGACCAACUAGCUCCAUCCAGACUUCAGUUCGGGCAUUCUUCGUCGCCCAGCCACCUUCUCCAUCCUAGAGCCAUGCAAGCCGAGCAUUUCAACAUUUUGGUAUUUUUCUCUUUUUUUUUUCUGCGAUGAGUUUUUUUUUCUACAAAAUAACUUAUAUUUCAAUAAAUUUGAUUGAGUAUUACUGAUUUUGUUGAAAAUGUGUGUAUUUGAUAGUGGUGUUCCAUUAUCAGUGAUUCAUUUGUGAGAAUGGAAAUGUUUAUAAAAUAUACAAUUUAACUAUAUAAUUAAUGUAGCUAUGAUGUUUGAUUGAAUGUUUGAAUGAAAAAAAAGCUAUAGACAUCUAUUUAUUUGAUCUAUGUUUGAUCUAUAUUUAAAGCGACUGGUUAUUAUCGUUGAGGCUGAUUCUUAAAUUUUCUCUUAUAAGGGAUAUAUGGUGUUCUAAAGUGUUUCAUUGCAAGCCCUUGGACGAUAUGAAGAAAAAUUGUGAUGUGUUAGACUCGAACUGCCAACCCAAGAGAUCUAGCUAUGGGUUACCUGAGGACAAAUUUAUAUUUUCUUGUGUUAACCAGCUAUACAAGAUGGAUCCUGAUAUUUUCAAUACAUGGUGCAACAUCCUUAAGCGAGUACCAAAUAGUGCACUUUGGCUUCUCAGAUUCCUCAACAACCAUCGUUAAUUUGCUUCGUAAAUUUCUCGCCGUUCAGCAGCGUCGGGCUGAAGCCUAUUCCAACCUCAAAAGGGGAUUUUCAGAGUAUAUGAUUUUGGGAAAUGAAUUGGCCUAUCAACAGCUUU